UUGCCCAAGGCAGGGUAGGAGGGGGCCCAAGGCCCUUUUGCGCGUUUGAGCUGGCCAAGCUUGCUCGGGCAAGAGGCGAGUCCUACAAAAUCGGGGCAGUCAGAAGGUGAAACGAGACCGUGCUCCAUUUCGAGGACUACUGAUGUCAUGGCUGACGCCAACCUGACGUCAGUGCCCGGGGCACGCACCAACAAUAAAACAAAAUUCAAACUCGGACACUAACGUCAGGCUAGCAUCAGUGCUACUUUCCACCAAUGGUAACACGGCAUGUGGC
rnacentral:lncRNA from 1 species